UGGCCUCUAAGACUUCUCUCAGCACA
rnacentral:piRNA from 1 species